GCCAUGGCUGCUCGCAAGAGAGCUUCUACAAACCCAUCAGUAAAAGAACCUUCUCCCAAAGAAAUUGACAAAACCCACCAAAGCAAAUCCCCAUUAACGGAUGAUCCGCCCAUUGCGCCACCGAAAUCAGGUUUUAUCUUCAAGCUCAUUCUCUUUUUCUCUGUUCCAUACCUUUACCUCAUCUUCUACCACUACAAGAUCGACCUAGAGCUCAGAAGAUCAAUCAUUAUCAAU
rnacentral:misc_RNA from 1 species